rnacentral:rRNA from 1 species
CUGGCGGCGCGCUUAACACAUGCAAGUCGAACGGGAAAGUGGAGCAAUCCAUGAGUACAGUGGCGUACGGGUGAGUAACACGUGGGUAAUCUAACUCUUAGUGGGGAAUAACCCAGGGAAACCGGGGCUAAUACCGCAUAAGCUCGAGAGAGGAAAGCAGCAAUGCGCUGAGAGAGGAGCCCGCGGCCGAUUAGCUAGUUGGCAGGGUAAGAGCCUACCAAGGCAGAGAUCGGUAGCCGGCCUGAGAGGGCACACGGCCACACUGGCACUGAAACACGGGCCAGACUCCUACGGGAGGCAGCAGUGGGGAAUCUUGCACAAUGGGGGCAACCCUGAUGCAGCGACGCCGCGUGAGCGAUGAAGCCCUUCGGGGUGUAAAGCUCUUUCGGCAGGGAAGAUAAUGACGGUACCUGCAGAAGCAGCUGCGGCUAACUACGUGCCAGCAGCCGCGGUAAUACGUAGGCAGCGAGCGUUGUUCGGAGUUACUGGGCGUAAAGGGUGUGUAGGCGGUUCUUUAAGUUUGGUGUGAAAUCUCCCGGCUCAACCGGGAGGGUGCGCCGAAUACUGAGGGACUAGAGUACGGGAGAGGAAAGUGGAAUUCCUGGUGUAGCGGUGAAAUGCGUAGAUAUCAGGAGGAACACCGGUGGUGUAGACGGCUUUCUGGACCGUAACUGACGCUGAGACACGAAAGCGUGGGUAGCAAACAGGAUUAGAUACCCUGGUAGUCC